rnacentral:misc_RNA from 1 species
GAACGCACCUUGCGCCCCUUGGUAUUCCGAGGGGCAUGCCUGUUUGAGUGUCAUUAAAUUCUCAACUCUGAUUUGAUUUGUUUCUAAUCAGAGCUUGGACUUGGAGUGUGCUGGCGUCUAGUCGGCUCCUCUCAAAUGCAUCAGCGGAAUUAGAACCUUUGGUUUCCGGACGUCGGUGUAAUAAUAAAGUUGCGCCGUCUUUCGACUUCAAAGUCCGCUUAUAAUGGUCUUCGGACGAACUCUUAUAUCAAAUUUGACCUCAAAUCAGGUAGGACUACCCGCUGAACUUAAG